rnacentral:lncRNA from 1 species
UGUUGCUGCCUGGUUUGGAACGGCUAGGCUCAUAGACAACAUUGAGAUCAAGAGAUGGACCAACUUAUGAGCUAUCUCAUCAACUUAUAAGCUGUCAGAUCAUUGGUUUUAUAAACAUUUUUGGUCAUGGUUCCUGCAACCAGAUUACAACGUAAAGGUAGUUAUUGUAUGAUCUUGGUACUAAAUGGGUGUGAUGCGGUUGGCUCGUCCACUUUAUGAUGUUGGAGAUCCUUUUCUUAUCUAGCACUGUCUCUCAUGAUGAAGUGCAGUAAGAAGACAGAGAGGCUUGCUGUGAUUCAAAGGCUUUAACAGAUUAGAGAAAAGUUCAUGUUUGAUUUUCUUGUUGACACGGUGAAAAAACAAGAGAAUUUAUAUGGUUCAUAAUGAUAAUUAGAGUUUGUAGUUAUUAUGUCUGAGUGUAAAAUUAAAGUCUGAGUGUAUUUUAAUUUAUAUUUUAAUUAGAUAAAAAAGGUUUGUAUUUUAAUUUAUAUGUUUGAUUAAAUCAAAGGAUAAAAAUGAUAAUUAUACUUUUAGAUUAAGUUUAAGACUUGAAAUUAAAUAAUGAAAAAAAAGUUAUAAAAUUUUUAGUUAUUGUUGGGUAUAUGAUUAAUUUGGGGUUUAAACCCUAACCCCUAAACAUAAAUUUUAAAAUUUUAAUAUUUUCAUAAUAUCAUUUUAAAAAUAUAAUCUCAAAUUUAAAUUAUAAACCUCAAACACUAAAUCUUAAAUCUACACCCUAAAUCUAAUACCCUACACCCCAAACAUAAACCUUUCAUCUAAUAUUUUCAAACUUAUAAUAUAAACUCAAAUUAGAUCAUUUUAAAAAUCUAAUCUCAAAUUUAAAAUCUAAACCUCAAACACUAAAUCUAAAUCUAUACUCUAAAUCUAAUACCUAAACCUCAAACAUAAAUCCAACAUACAAAGUCACUAAUCUAAUCUAAUAUUUCUAUAUUAAUUCUUAAAUUUCAAAGAUCCUAAUCUUAUACUAACCAUUACUUACAAAAGUUUAUUUUAAAAAUUCAAAUCUUAACUUUUUAUUUUUAUAUAUCUAAACUCUAAACCUUUCAUACAUCCCAAA